rnacentral:rRNA from 1 species
UACGUAGGGUGCGAGCGUUAAUCGGAAUUACUGGGCGUAAAGCGUGCGCAGGCGGUUUUGUAAGCCAGAUGUGAAAUCCCCGGGCUUAACCUGGGAAUGGCAUUUGGGACUGCAAGGCUCGAGUGCGGCAGAGGAGACUGGAAUUCCUGGUGUAGCAGUGAAAUGCGUAGAUAUCAGGGGGAACACCGAUGGCGAAGGCAGGUCUCUGGGCUGACACUGACGCUCAUGCACGAAAGCGUGGGGAGCAAACAGG